rnacentral:rRNA from 1 species
CACGUAGUUAGCCGGGGCUUCUUAAUCAGGUACCGUCUGGCGACCCAAAGGUCGCUAUUUCUUCCCUGCUGAUAGAGCUUUACAUACCGAAAUACUUCUUCACUCACGCGGCGUCGCUGCAUCAGGGUUUCCCCCAUUGUGCAAUAUUCCCCACUGCUGCCUCCCGUAGGAGUUUGGGCCGUGUCCCAGUCCCAAUGUGGCCGUUCACCCUCUCAGGCCGGCUACUGAUCGUCGCCUUGGUGAGCCAUUACCCCACCAACAAGCUAAUCAGACGCGGAACCAUCGUAUACCACCGGAGUUUUUCACACCACUUCAUGCGAAGCUGUGCGCUUAUGCGGUAUUAGCACCUAUUUCUAAGUGUUAUCCCCCAGUAUACGGCAGGUUUUCCACGCGUUACUCACCCGUCCGCCACUAACUCAUAAAUCACUAGGUUUCAAUAUGAGCCCGUUCGACUUGCAUGUGUUAAGCACGCCGCCAGCGUUCAUCCUGAGCCAGGAUCAAACUCU